GACUUCCUGUGAAGCUUCGAGGAAACAUUUCUGAAUAUUAGAGGUAAAGGAGAGGAGAGUAAAGGCUGGGGGAGGGAGGCAGGACAGUUUUAGAGCUUAAGUGGAUUACAUAGCUCCAUAACCCAGUUAUGGGUCCAUGGACUCGAGUGAGCUGUUUUUUCCCCUCCUCUGGCUGUCUGCCUGUCAGAUCGCUCCCCUGACAGGCAGGCGUUAUUAGCCUCCCCCAGCUGCCUCUCUCAGCAUUUCUUCUUUCCCAGUGCUCACAUCCCCUGGCUGCUCGCCUCAGCCCUUCUGGUACCUCCAGGUUCCCCGGGGUCCUUCCUGCAGCUGCACGGGCUGCCCGCACCCACCGAGGUCUCCUUCUACCAGUGCAGGUGGCAGGUCUCUGAUCCCUGUCUCUAAAAGGUUAUCCACUUCUGACUCUCUGAUUUUAGAUAGCGAAGAGGGAUAGAUUAAAAACUGAUGAGCACCUGAGCUCCGUGGCGAUAAAGGUGGUGUGAGGGAGCAGCGACGGCUUGGCACAUCCAGAUCCAUUCAUAUUUCCGCGCCGUGCAAAAAACGUUGGGUGAGCACGAGUUAAGCACCAGCCUGGUUGUUAAGCCUUGAAAUUUCCCCUCAAGACUGAGGUGUGAGCCUGACAUCUGCUGGGGACUGCACCACUGCUGCAGAAAAAGCCAGGCUGUCCUUUCUCAAAGCUCCUCGGCCCUCGGGAGGGCUGGUGGCUGGGGCAGCGCAGAGGGGCAGAACGGGGCUGCACCUCCAGGCUUUGGUUUUGCUGACAGCUGGAUAUUUUCCCAAACCCUGCGCUCGUGCUGGGGGACCUGGCGUGGUGGGGUUUUCAGCCUGGCCACCUGGAAGUGCUGAGGGAAGACUACAGGGAAGAGAACAAACAGUGACCAAUCUUUGCUAAACACAUCUUCCCAGCUCCCAGCUGUUAGCAGGUAAGGAAAUUGAAAUGUGGCAGAUAGACUAUAAAGUUGCGUCCUCAUCAGUGGUAAACCUGUCUAUUCUCUUUCUGGAUCCAUUUCAAUCCCUGCCCUGCAUUACUUCAUAUAACAAGAAGCUAUACAUUUAUUUAAGCACUAUCUGAAAGAACUACUUUUAUCUAAACCUGACAAUUCCAGUGAUUCUUUAUCUGGUGAACAAUAACUCAUUGUUCUUUAAGUGCCCCUGGCUUGUAGGAUUUGUUGAUAGUCAUGUCUGAUUAUCUAUACAAUGACUUCAACCAUA
rnacentral:lncRNA from 1 species